CAGCGCCACGAGUGGCAUACACUUUUAUUGGGCCUAAAGCGUCCGUAGCCGGUCAUGUAAAUCUUUUGUGAAAUCAUAGUGCUUAACACUAUGGCGUGCAGAAGAGACUGCUUGACUAGGAACCGGGAGGAGUCAGAGGUAUUCUGAGGGGAGCGGUAAAAUGUGAUAAUCCCCGGAGGACCACCUGUGGCGAAGGCGUCUGACUAGAACGGAUUCGACGGUGAGGGACGAAGGCCAGGGGAGCGAACCGGAUUAGAGACCCGAGUAGUCC
rnacentral:rRNA from 1 species